GCAGCAUCCCUUUUAAAGACAUCGCUGGGCACAAAGGCGGUCUCCCAGAGCAGGAUCCUAGGCUGAAACGAAACUUUCUUGGAAUAAGUAAAUAGCAAGGGUUUGUAGCCUGUUACUCCAGCAGAGCUCAUCCUCAUUUGCUCAUCCUGCUGCAGUUUGCAGUGUGUGACCAGAUACGGGAGAUGUCAGCCAGUAGGUUGUGGCAGCCUGUCAGAAGUGACUGGAGACCUUUGUUGGAUGAAUAAAGCCUAUCCACUCCCUGUCCAACCUGACAACAACAACACAGAAGGCAUGGGGCACCCAGUCACAGUCCUGCUGCUCAUCUUUCAAACUGCAGGAGAUGAAUAGCAAUGUCACCCCAGGACACACCACCCUGGAGGCACUGCCAGGAGAGUCAUGGCAACAUCUCAGCAGGUGGUUUUCAGAAAUCCUCAGACCAAAGCAAACACUGCCACAGAAAAAUGUUGCAAUUCAACCCAGUUUUGAGGGAAGUGCCCCUGAUAACUUCUCAGCUCCAAAGAGAAGCAGUGGAGGCUGGGGCCACCGAGUCUCCAUGGAAAUCACAGAGGGUCUCACCGAGUCCAACCCAAAGGAGAGGAGCGGGUUUGAGCUGUGUUUGCAUAUCUGGCCAGGAAGAGAGGACUCAUGUCUGCCACAAAGGUCUCAGUGUGGUUUGUGCUGAAGUGGGAUCCCACAUCUGGGAUCUACCCAAGAGCUACAUCAUCCUCUCUUAGAGAUAGGAAAGCUUCAUAAAGGGAAGACUUUGAAUCAGGAGUCCGCUGUGCAUUGCAACAUUUAUUGCCAUGAUUCACAUACCUCCAGUGUUACUGCAAAUCCGGGCAAAGUGUGAAAUGAUUCUCUCUCUUAUCUUUGAGGAAAUGCAACAUGCUCCAACCAUGCUGACUCUGAAAGUCAGCUCUACCCUGCUUUGGGCCACAGAAAUUGUCAGGAUUUUUGAAAAAGCUCAACAAACCUCAACACCACAGUCGCGCCAAUUAUUUUUGAAGUGAUUUGGGAACAACUCAGGGUUUUUUCUUUUCACCUUUUGCAGCUACAUAGACACCCUUGGAGUUCUGCAGGUACAUACCAACUUAUGAAGGAGCUGGAGGCACUAAGAGAGCUGGAACAUGAUGAAUAACUGUCAAAUUACAGGGAACACUUUAAAAUGUCUUAAACCUCUCCCCUGCCCUGCUUCAUCGUGGCAACUAGGACAUGAGCCUUUAGCUAGGCUGUCUUUCCCCGAGGCUGUCCCUUCACUUGGGACAGGAGAUGAUCUGAAACCAUGGGCAAGGGGUUCAGAAUCUUCAUGACAAAAUCAUGGUAUGGAAUAGAAAGAGAGACUGGGUGAGCUGCAGCACAGGGGAUCAUGCAUGUGCCAGCACCAGAGUCUUCAGACUUUGAUCAUACCCACAGCUUGACUGCCAGAUAAACCACCUGCUUUUGUUUGCACAAUUGCAAAAUGGCUCUGCAGCAUCUCUAGCAAUUGCUCAGAGAAGAAAGAAAUACUUUUCUUGCAUUCUUAGCAUAGCAGGUGUUUUUAGAAAUUAAAGGAUUAAAGAGAUGAAUUCUGCAUUUUAUUUUGGCCCUUUGCAAUAUCCCUGCUCUGUGUCUGAAAUGUUUUCUUCUCCAAAGAGACAAGCAGAAGUAGUCAGCUCUUUACAGACAGUGUUUUUAGGUUUAUCAAUGUUAAGGUUGUUUUCUUGUACACAUUUCAGUACUGUUUUUUGUUUUACAUAGCUGGGGGUACUUUGUUGCCCUGCUGUAUUUAGCAGAAAAACUUAAGAAGUUUGUUUCUCACUCCUGUUUGCCAUGGAGGCCUCAAUCCCAGAGAAAAUUGUAAAAGCAACUCAGUUAAUCAAAGGUUAAACAAAAUGAAGGAAGUUUGUAUGGUGCCCUGAAGGUUAUUAGACUCAAGGUCUGAGCAGCUGCCAAGGGGAGUGAGUUCCAGGGCAGGAGCAUUCAUCUGAGAAAUUCCAGUUGCUGGACGUGGAGGGGUUGAACCUGGGAUCUGCAGGCGCCUCCCAGCUGAGCUCGGCUGCCACGGCUGCCAUGUGGGGAAGGACCUGUGUCCCCUCCCACGCUCCUGGUCCAGAGUGCAAAUGGAUGGGAAGGCACAACCCACUCUGUGGGAGGGCAAUGGGGACUUGUCAAUUGUUCCAGAUGCCUGGCUGCUUCCAUUACCAGCUGUGGUGUGAGCAGGGAGCUCUAAAAUCCAAAGACAGGCAAUUCCUGGGGGUCAGGGCUGAUAAAAGGGCUCAUGGAGCCUGCUACAAGGCACGUCUGGAAGUGGCACGGAGUCAAGAGGUGCAGCAAGCAAUGCAGCGUGACCAGUGGUCAGUUUGUGUCCUCUGAGCUGCUCUCCAUCCACGAAUGUCUUUGCCUCCCUAUCAGAGUGAUGCUCUGGAGUGGCAGCUGGUUUAUCUUCCACUUCAGCCCAAUGUGGAGGUGGAAUUGAAAUCACAGGGUAUGGAUGCAAGAUGGAAACAGGCAAAGUGUUGUCACAUCCUUUCAACUUCCAAGUGUCUUCCAAGUGCCUCUUUCUGUGAUAUAGAAGAAUUUUGACUAAAUAAAGUCAUUAAGUAAAAACUAUAAAAGCAAAUAGACAUGUAUCUGGGUAUACCUACACUCUUAUUUGUGAAUGUUAAACAGAAUGUUAAACCUUCCUAUACAUCAGUUUGUGUAUCUGUGCAGCAGUCUUGAUAUUUUAUUCCUCAUCUGUGCCAUAAUUGCAGGAGUCCUUCAUGCCAAUGUAGACACUGAUCUCACUGUAUGUCAGAAUUAUAAAAUAUAUGUGAGAGCUGGAAUAAUAAGAAUGUGUGUUUUCUGAAAAAGUAGAAGGUUUCUGGAGGAGAAGUUUUCCCAAAGGGAGCUAAGUUUACAGAUCUAACUCAUUCAGGCCUUUUUCCUUCUGAAGUUGACGCACACAUGCACAAACACACAGGCUCCAGUAUCUAUUUCAUGGACACAUUCUUCCCAUCUCACUGUGUAAAGGUCUUGAAAGCAAUAGCUACUGGCAGUACCCCAAUUCAACAUAUCUAAUAGGUCCUUCCCAGUUUCAAAAUCACUAAGGACACACAUGGCCAAAGGAAAGCAGGGCUUAAACUACCUUGCUGUCAGAAGCAAUGGAACUAGCUGCCUGUCCUUGUGGGCUUGAUUUGUGGGUUCUUUGUUUUUAUAGUCUUGGUUUGCUGACUGCAUCUCAAGAAUUGUGUUGCUAGAGCAACUUAGUUAAUCUAACUCCUGGAAGCAACUCCAACUCCAACUGUUGAA